CUUCACCGACCCCAGCCACAACGGCCGCUCCGCCGAGCGCCCCUGGCCGUAGGUGGCCAGCACGGCCUGCGCCUC
rfam:Streptomyces sparsogenes DSM 40356 contig00309, whole genome shotgun sequence.